GACGAAGGGGGCUAGCGUUGCUCGGAAUUAUUGGGCGUAAAGGGUAGGUAGGUGGUCUCAUUUGUCUGGGGUGAAAGCCUUGAGCUUAACUCAAGAAGUGCCUCAGAAACGGUGAGACUAGAGUUCUGGAGAGGGUCGUGGAAUUCCCGGUGUAGCGGUGAAAUGCGUAGAGAUCGGGAGGAACACCAGAGGCGAAGGCGGCGACCUGGACAGAUACUGACACUCAACUACGAAAGCGUGGGGAGCAAACAGG
rnacentral:rRNA from 1 species